rnacentral:lncRNA from 1 species
GGUUGAUACAUUUGUCAAUUUCAUUGUUAGAAUCCAACAAGCACCUGCUGUGGCACGGAAAACUUCUCUUCAUCCACCUACGAUGGUGAUGGUUAAAGAAGCGCUGAAGGAGUUGGACUCUCGAAUGGUCUCAUCGCAGGCCAUUCGCGGCUACAUAACAGAGAAAUAUCCAUCUGUGGACCUGAUGAGGUUGAAGUACAUGACACGCAAGACCCCAAAAAAAGGAACCGAGGGCGGGGUAUUGGUAAGAACACCAACUCGAUAGCAAACGGCGCACAGGGGAGGUUUCGGUCAGGGUUAGGGUGAAGGAGCCCAAGCCAAAGGCCACUGAGAACACUGAUCCCAAUGUGGAGAAGGCUGCCAAGGUUGGAGCCAAGAAGACUAAGGACAAGGAAGCCGAAGCUGUGAAGAAAAAGGCUACAGCCAAAAAGCAGAAGGAGAAACCUUCAGAGGAUGCAAAACUCAGGAAAUCCGCAAAAGCAUCUGCUUCCAAGGUGCCCCCUGCUAAGAAGCCCAAGUCGAACAGGACAAUGGGGAAGAGGGGACAGCUGAGGAUCAACCCAAAGCACAGAAGACUACCAAGGGUGAAGGGGCAGCCAAGAAGGGUGCAAAGGCCAAAGCUUUCCAGAAGCCUGCAGAGGGUGAUGAAGGGGACACUGCUGCUCCUGAAGCUAAAAAUCACAGUGAAACGAGGCAAUGGGGGCAGCAGCAGAAUGACUGCACUCCUUUUAUCCACUUUAUAUGUUUUUAAAU